UCCCGUGUGGCUCAGUUGGUAGAGCAUGGUGUUUGCAAUGCCAGGGUUGUGGGUUUGAUUCCCACGGGAG
rfam:Salmo salar isolate Sally breed double haploid chromosome ssa27, whole genome shotgun sequence.